CCUUCCGUAGGGUGAACCUGCGGAGGGAUCAUUACACAACAAAAUAUGAAGGCCUGGCUUUCGCGGCCGGCUGAAGUAUUUUUUUCACCCAUGUCUUUUGCGCACUUGUUGUUUCCUGGGCGGGUUCGCCCGCCACCAGGACCAAACCAUAAACCUUUUUUUUUUAUGCAGUUUCCAUCAGCGUCAGUAAAAACAAUGUAAUUAUUACAACUUUCAACAACGGAUCUCUUGGUUCUGGCAUCGAUGAAGAACGCAGCGAAAUGCGAUACGUAGUGUGAAUUGCAGAAUUCAGUGAAUCAUCGAAUCUUUGAACGCACAUUGCGCCCUUUGGUAUUCCAAAGGGCAUGCCUGUUCGAGCGUCAUUUGUACCUUCAAGCUUUGCUUGGUGUUGGGCGUUUUUUUGUCUCCCUCUUUCUGGGAGACUCGCCUUAAAACGAUUGGCAGCCGGCCUACUGGUUUCGGAGCGCAGCACAUUUUUUGCGCUUUGUAUCAGGAGAAAAGGACGGUACUCCAUCAAGACUCUACAUUUUUCACUUUUGACCUCGGAUCAGGUAGGGAUACCCGCUGAACUUAAGCAUAUCAAUAAGCGGAGGAAAGA
rnacentral:rRNA from 1 species